UACGGAGGGGGCUAGCGUUGUUCGGAAUCACUGGGCGUAAAGCGCACGUAGGCGGAUUGUUAAGUCAGGGGUGAAAGCCCAGAGCUCAACUCUGGAACUGCCCUUGAUACUGGCAAUCUUGAGUCCGGGAGAGGUGAGUGGAAUUCCUAGUGUAGAGGUGAAAUUCGUAGAUAUUAGGAGGAACACCAGUGGCGAAGGCGGCUCACUGGCCCGGUACUGACGCUGAGGCGCGAAAGCGUGGGGAGCAAACAGG
rnacentral:misc_RNA from 1 species